rnacentral:rRNA from 1 species
GGGUAACGGCCCACCAAGGCUACGAUCAGUAGGGGUUCUGAGAGGAAGGUCCCCCACAUUGGAACUGAGACACGGUCCAAACUCCUACGGGAGGCAGCAGUGAGGAAUAUUGGUCAAUGGACGAGAGUCUGAACCAGCCAAGUAGCGUGCAGGAUGACGGCCCUAUGGGUUGUAAACUGCUUUUAUAAGGGAAUAAAGUGAGCCUCGUGAGGCUUUUUGCAUGUACCUUAUGAAUAAGGACCGGCUAAUUCCGUGCCAGCAGCCGCGGUAAUACGGAAGGUCCGGGCGUUAUCCGGAUUUAUUGGGUUUAAAGGGAGCGUAGGCCGGAGAUUAAGCGUGUUGUGAAAUGUAGACGCUCAACGUCUGCACUGCAGCGCGAACUGGUUUCCUUGAGUACGCACAAAGUGGGCGGAAUUCGUGGUGUAGCGGUGAAAUGCUUAGAUAUCACGAAGAACUCCGAUUGCGAAGGCAGCUCACUGGAGCGCAACUGACGCUGAAGCUCGAAAGUGCGGGUAUCGAACAGGAUUAGAUACCCUGGUAGUCCGCACGGUAAACGAUGGAUGCCCGCUGUUGGUCUGAAUAGGUCAGCGGCCAAGCGAAAGCAUUAAGCAUCCCACCUGGGGAG